CACUGACAAUACCACAUCACAGCUCCGCAGCAACAAUACCAUGUCUGCUGUCAGCCACUGCACAUCCAAGUCCAAUACAGAAGCCUGUCCCCGAUGACUGAGCAGGAGGACCGGACAAAUGAGAGAAGGGGGUCUCCUCAGUUCACCAGCAUCCUGCGAGAUGGAAAUGCCCCGUAUGUUCCACCAGGAUUUGAAAUUCAUGUACCGUCUCGAUCGUCAAUCACGCUGACAGCUCGGGAGAGAGAGAGC